rnacentral:rRNA from 1 species
GACGAACGCUGGCGGCGUGCUUAACACAUGCAAGUCGAACGGAAAGGCCCUGCUUUUGUGGGGUGCUCGAGUGGCGAACGGGUGAGUAACACGUGAGUAACCUGCCCUUGACUUUGGGAUAACUUCAGGAAACUGGGGCUAAUACCGGAUAGGAGCUCCUGCUGCAUGGUGGGGGUUGGAAAGUUUCGGCGGUUGGGGCUGGACUCGCGGCUUAUCAGCUUGUUGGUGGGGUAGUGGCUUACCAAGGCUUUGACGGGUAGCCGGCCUGAGAGGGUGACCGGCCACAUUGGGCCUGAGAUACGGCCCAGACUCCAACGGGAGGCAGCAGUGGGGAAUAUUGCACAAUGGGCGGAAGCCUGAUGCAGCAACGCCGCGUGCGGGAUGACGGCCUUCGGGUUGUAAACCGCUUUCGCCUGUGACGAAGCGUGAGUGACGGUAAUGGGUAAAGAAGCACCGGCUAACUACGUG